UACUGACGCUCAUGGACGAAAGCCAGGGGAGCGAAAGGGAUUAGAUACCCCUGUAGUCCUGGCCGUAAACGAUGAACACUAGGUGUCGGGGGAAUCGACCCCUUCGGUGUCGUAGCUAACGCGUUAAGUGUUCCGCCUGGGGAGUACGCACGCAAGUGUGAAACUCAAAGGAAUUGACGGGGGCCCGCACAAGCGGUGGAGUAUGUGGUUUAAUUCGAUGCAACGCGAAGAACCUUACCAGGGUUUGACAUCCUGCGAACCUCUUAGAAAUUUGAGGGUGCCUUCGGGAAUGCAGUGACAGGUGGUGCAUGGCUGUCGUCAGCUCGUGUCGUGAGAUGUUGGGUUAAGUCCCGCAACGAGCGCAACCCACGUUUUUAGUUGCCAGCAUUUAGUUGGGCACUCUAGAAAGACCGCCGGUGAUAAACCGGAGGAAGGUGUGGAUGACGUCAAGUCAUCAUGCCCCUUACACCCUGGGCUACACACGUACUACAAUGCUACGGACAAAGGGCAGCAAACUCGCGAGAGCUAGCAAAUCCCAUAAACCGUGGCUCAGUUCAGAUCGUAGGCUGCAACUCGCCUACGUGAAGUAGGAAUCGCUAGUAAUCGCAGGUCAGCAUACUGCGGUGAAUACGUUCCCGGGCCUUGUACACACCGCCCGACACACCAUGGAAGUUGGCCAUGCCCGAAGUCGUUACUCCAACCCUUGUGGAGGAGGACGCCGAAGGUGGGGCUAAUGACUGGGGUGAAGUCGUAACAAGGUAGCCGU
rnacentral:rRNA from 1 species